UCCUGAUAAAAUUCUUUAGGGCAAUGC
rnacentral:sRNA from 1 species